AUGACCUGGUUGAGAAGAUCCAGCUUCUUACAGGACCAUCCGAAGAAGCAUUCUUCCCCUGAAAGAAGUGAAGGUACCAUUCUCCACCAUGCUUAUUCUGUGUCUCAGAGAUUUGUUCAAAGAACUGCACUUUGUGAAUGGUGCUCCGGAGCACUUUCAGUGAUUACUACUCAUACCUCUUCCUGGGAAACUGUUGAAAGGACCAGCAAACAUCUGGUUUACUCAGAUAUAAUCUCAGAUUAAUGGAAUUGUGGAACAGAUUACACUCGUCUCACUAAGAUCGGGGAUGGAUUCUCUUCACAUGAUGCCCCAGGAAUGCUGAGCCAUGGGAGGACCUGGCAGUUAGUUUACUAAAACAAAACUGGGACAGGACUGCCCUGGUACUCUCAGCCCAUCAAUUAUCAUUUGCCUCCACAUACCUGAGAAACAAUCACAAUAAUUCUACUUACUACUUCUGUUACUGUUAUUUAGGGAACACUUAAUUAUAUGCCAGGCACUUCCUACCAGGAAGGAAUUAUUAUUAUAUUCAUUUUACAAAUGAGGAAAUUAAAACUGAUAAAAAUUUUAAGUAAUGUUGUCCAAGAAGCCAUUUUUUAAAUGAUCUUAGGCGGACUUUUAAUGCACGUAGGUACGAAUCCAGAACUACCCCCCUUCGCCAUUAUGCUGCAGUUCAUGAGCUUCACCAAGUGUUGCCUGGUGGCAGCUUCAUCGACAAAAUUAGCUCUGAGUUUGGGGCAGCCGGGAGGGCAGGUGUGUUGGCAGGUGUUUGCAUAUUUUCCAAUUUCUUUCUGAUGUAUUGUCACCACACUCUUAAGCUCUGCAGCAGCUGAACAGCUCAUGGGCACAUUGCAUCAAUGCAUCUCUAACCUUGUGUGUGCUACAUGCAUGAUUGCAGGCAGCUAUUUAAUUCCUAAUGUUACUGCCCACCCUUUCCCUUUGUUUUCUGCUAUGGUGUCCUAAUGUUUCAGAAAAGAAUUUUUGAAUGAGCCUAAUAGCAAGCUAUCUUUACUCCACUAUAUCAAAAAGAAAAUCAUGACUCGUUUCUAAAGAAGAAAUGUUUCUCUAAGUUUGCAAGUUUCUCUAAGACCAAAUCUACCCUCAAACACUCCUGAAUGUCUAGCUAUUUUCAUUCUCUUUCAUUUCAAGUCUGUCUCCCAGAAUGCUGGGCGUGCUUGCCAAUACACGCUGGAGCAGUCAACUGUGACAAUGGAUAGUGUCCUUGAAAGGGUGAUCCAUGAGCAAAGUUAAUUCCUGUGGAUUAAAAAAAAAUAGAAUAAAUAAAAUAUUUCAAGAUGAAUCUUGAUAAAG
rnacentral:lncRNA from 1 species